CAAAGUGUAAUUUAAAUUAAAAUCUUUCGCUUACACCGUAACCAUGUCUGUUAAACCCAGACCACUUUGA
rnacentral:tRNA from 1 species